AUGAUCCCGGGGGUGUUGGACGAUCCCGGUUUGGACGAUCCCGGUGGGGUCCGGAUGAUCCUGGGGGUGUUGGACGAUCCCGGUUUGGACGAUCCCGGUUUGGACGAUCCCGGUGGGGUCCGGAUGAUCCUGGGGGUGUUGGACGAUCCCGGUUUGGACGAUCCCGGUGGGGUCCGGAUGAUCCUGGGGGUGUUGGACGAUCCCGGUUUGGAUGAUUCCGGUGGGGUCCGGAUGAUCCCGGGGGUGUUGGACGAUCCCGGUUUGGACGAUCCCGGUGGGGUCCGGAUGAUCCUGGGGGUGUUGGACGAUCCCGGUUUGGAUGAUUCCGGUGGGGUCCGGAUGAUCCCGGGGGUGUUGGACGAUCCCGGUUUGGACGAUCCCGGUGGGGUCCGGAUGAUCCUGGGGGUGUUGGACGAUCCCGGUUUGGAUGAUUCCGGUGGGGUCCGGAUGAUCCCGGGGGUGUUGGACGAUCCCGGUUUGGAUGAUUCCGGUGGGGUCCGGAUGAUCCCGGGGGUGUUGGACGAUCCCGGUUUGGAUGAUUCCGGUGGGGUCCGGAUGAUCCCGGGGGUGUUGGACGAUCCCGGUUUGGAUGAUUCCGGUGGGGUCCGGAUGAUCCCGGGGGUGUUGGACGAUCCCGGUUUGGAUGAUUCCGGUGGGGUCCGGAUGAUCCCGGGGGUGUUGGACGAUCCCGGUUUGGAUGAUUCCGGUGGGGUCCGGAUGAUCCCGGGGGUGUUGGUUUUUUUUUUUUUUUUUUUAAUCUUUAUUAAUGAAUUAAAAAAAAAAUCUCUUUAAAAAUAUAUUUAUUUUGUUUUUAUUUUUCUCUUCUGGCAUCCACACCUGUGAUGAGGAACAUGCCUUUAUCCCAUCCUCACACCAGGUGAAACUCCUCUGUGGAGCACUUCUGGAUCAAAGCUUUUCUGUGCCCAGGUGGGACAGAUGGGAAUACUUGGCAUGGGAAAGCAUGGAGUAAUGCAUAGUUACAGGCACCUGACACAGGAGCCUCUCAGAUGGGGUUGAUUACCCAGAUUUGCAGAAAACAUUGGAGACUUAACCAGUGGGAACAACAUCUGGAAUCUUAAAUGGGCAUUUGGAAUACCAGGGGAUGAGUUUGGCACCAAGUUCUUAGCAGCUGUAAAGGCUGAGAUCCAUAAGAAUCAUUGGGUACCUGAUUGCUCCCUCAAAACAAAACAAGAAAAAAAAAAAAAAGGGGUUCUGUGGACUUCAGGGGAUCCAAACAACAGCUCCUGUCACUUCUGGAAAGGGACUUUGAUUCCUGCAAUGCUUUUGGGAGGUCACACCUAACAUCUGUUCCCUUUCCAAACAUAACUCCUGCCUGAUGCUCUGCAGGAAAAGGCAGCACUGGGAUGCUCCCGGGGGCUUUACCCCUGCCAAGGAAUCUUUGCCACAAGGAUCAUCCUCAGGGAUCCAACAGGUGGAUGAAAGGAGCCCCCUGAGGAGCAGGAGGUGCCCCCAGUGCCAGCAGCAGCUCUGCAGCUGGAAGCUGAUGUUAUUGCUAUAUUCAGAUUCUCAGAUUGGCCCCGUGGGUGAGGAAAGGCACAGGGGCUCCCUUGUUUUGUUAAGCAACUUUCCCUGUCAGAAUCCAGUAAGGAAUUCCAACCAGUAUCAGUGGUGGCAUGCAUGAUCCCAGGAGGUCUUUUCCAAUCUAAAUGAUCCUGUGGGUUUAUUAGAAAUAAAAGACAACAGAAGGAAUAAAUCUUACUGAGCUCCUGGCUCAAUAUCCUAAUUCCCAGACUGCCGCGGUAAGGGCUGCCCCUCCUUCUCCCCCUCCCUCCCCUGGAGCACAGGGAGCUCAGCACGGGGGAGGCAGGGCCAGCAGGGGCUCUGAGGCUGACCUUGGGCUGGGCUGUUUGCUCCAAUGUGAGAGCUCAGCUUGUGAAAGCAGUGGGAGUUAGGGCUGAUUGGGCUGUUUAAGCUUUUAGAGCAGAUCUCCCAAAGGAACCACCCCCAGUCCUUCCCUGGGGUGUGCAGGCUGCUUUCCCUCUGCUCCCCAAGGCUCCCUAAGGAGGAGUUGCUGGAGAUGGAGGUGAAAAGCCUGUGGAAGUGGAUUUGUGAGUCCCUGGUGAUACAGGGAAGGAAUUCCUCCCUGUGAGGAGGGUGAGCAGCUGUGGCUGCCCCUGGGUCCCUGGCAGCGCCCAAGGCCAGGUUGGACAGGGCUGGGAGCAGCUGGGACAGUGCAAGGUGUCCCUGCCAUGGCAGGGGUGGGUAAGAUGAGCUUUGAGGUCCCUUCCAACCCAAACCAUUCCAUGACUGUGAUCUCAGGUUACUCUGAUUCACCCAAACUGUUAUAAAUAUUCCAACUCCAGUCUUAAAAUGAACUAAAUCUUUGUAGGGGAGCUGCAGAUCCUUUGGAAAAUUUCACUGAGGGAGUCACUGUGCCAUCAAUAUGGAUUUCCUUUCCUCAGACACUUCUCCAGGACACCUCAAGAGAUCCCCAGGAUCUCUGGAAUGAGCACCAGAGAGCAAAUUGCAAUUCUAGAGGCCAAACCACCUUGGUUUAAUCAUGGAAAGGGAUGUGAGGACACUGGCAGUGCCACUUGGCUCCAGCAGUGAGAACACAAGCCUGAGCACAGACCUUCCUUUAUUUAAAGCAGCAAGUCUCAAAACCCUGGAAUGGCACAGAAGUUCAGCUCUGUGGCUCAGCUCAGCUUCAGGCUAAUUACUGCAAAAAUAAGCAAACACACCUGGGAAAGCAGGAUGACACAACCUGGAAAGUUUUGCAGGGACUUUGGGGUACCAGGAGUUCACUUGGAGCAGAACUUGCUGCAGCAACUGUGUGGGGGUGAAGAAAAGUCACUGCAGAGCAGCAGCUCCAGGCAUUGCCUCCUCCAGAGGGCUGGAAAUGCCACACUCCAGAGCCUGAGCAGUGCAGGUGCCUGGAAACACUCGGAAAACACAAGAUCCCUGUGGAAAAACACAAGUAGGACUCUUGUCUGAACAAUUACUCGCUCUGAAAUCUGAAGGAGUGGUAGCCUUGGGUAUGUUAAUGCUUAGAAAUGUGGCAGCUUUCACCACAUGAAUGUUUCCCUUCUUCCCCUGCCCUUUUUUUGAUCCCAUCUAACUGCCCCGUGUGUUUGCUUUAUUCUUUAAGGAAAGGUAAAUCUGGCUUGGCUCAAAGUGUGGGAUGGGUGGAGGAUAACACAUUUUGUGUGACUUGGAGACCUCUGGAGGUGCCACAUUUGGGGAAAAUUUCAUGUCUCAUCUCCCAGAGCAGGAGCUGUGGUUUGUCCCUGGCACAUAAAGUUCUGGAGCAGGAGAACCAGUGGGAUUAAAGCCUCCAGGUAUCCCUGGGAGACAAAAUGCCCAUUGGGAACAUCAGCUCUGUCACACAGAAAAGCCCAACAGAGGCUUGGUUGGAGGUUUUUUGAGAGCUUUUGCUGAGUUUUUGGCCUCUCCUGUUGUUUUCUAAAGGGGUGGGAACCACAAGUUGCCUCCAGUCCAUCAGGAGCCAUCUCUGCCUUCCCAUCUGUAAAAUGUGAAUGCUCCUGGGGCAAAAUUCUGGGAAAAAAAUUCUCUUUUGUGCCUUGUCUCCCAGAGCAGGAGCUGUGGUUUGUUCCUGGGAGGUGCUGGGUGCCUCGAUGGCAAGUUCUGGAGCAGAGGACCAGUGGGAUUAAAGGCUCCCAGAGCCACCCUGCUGCUCCAGGUAUCAAAAUGCCCAUUGGGAACAUCAGCUCUGUCACACAGAAAAGCCCAACAGAGGCUUGGUUGGAGGUUUUUUGAGAGCUUUUGCUGAGUUUUUGGCCUCUCCUGUUGUUUUCUAAAGGGGUGGGAACCACAAGUUGCCUCCAGUCCAUCAGGAGCCAUCUCUGCCUUCCCAUCUGUAAAAUGUGGAUGUUCCUGGGGCCACAGCAGAGAUGGACCAGAGAUAGAUCCAUAUCCUGAACUCAUUUCUCCCAGGCAUUUCAGUGGGAUGCCCAGCCCAGAACAAUGGCAGGAUACACGACCCUAAACAUUUCUUCAGGGCUUUGAAAGAUGAAAAGCAGGGACUUUGCUACCUAUGUCAGAGGAGGGGCAGGGAAAUGUUCCAUGAUGUUUAUAGCAGCCAUCACGGACAUUACACAUGAAAACAUGGGAAAUGCUGCCCUUUUCUGGGAGGGAGAUAAUCUUUAAGAGAUGGCAACCAGGAAAUCAAAGUAUUUGGUACACAACAGCCUCCCAAGCAGGGGGGUUUGCCCAAGGAACGUGGCCACAGCCACAGAUGUUUCCUCCAGAGGCAGAAAUGCUGCAAGGGGCUGUUCCUUCGGAGGAACCGGAACGAGAGAAAUCCCUGCACACGCUUUUCCUCCCCCUCCUCACCCCUGUGGAGUAAAAAACACAGCCCCAGAGCUGGAUUUUUCAAUGGAAACAUUGCCCUAAAAGCUGUUUGUUUCUCCCUUUGGAGCAGUAGAAGAUGAUGAAAUAAAAAAAGCAUACACAAAAAAAAGAAGAAAAAAAAAGAAAGGCAUGACUUGGAGACAGUGUUUAACCAUCCCUUUCCUGCUUUUUUUUUUUUUUUUUUUUGGGAUAAUGGGAUAAUAGGAUAAAGGCCCCCCCCCCCCCCCCCCCCCCCCCCCCCCCCCCCCCCCCCCCCCCCCCCCCCCCCCCCCCCCCCCCCCCCCC
rnacentral:lncRNA from 1 species